UGGAACUCUGAGGGCCUGGGACACCCCUCUUCGGCCACUGUCAUUCCUCCCCAGGCCUAAGAUGGUGGGCAGCCCCCGAGAAAGCUGGCCUGAGCCCCUUCUGCACUGUUCCUGCCCUGAGUCUGGCAGUGACCAAGGCCUUUUCCCCUUGAGUUUCAGGCUCAGAGAUGACCUAACACAGAAGUGGGCAUGACUGCUCCAGAAUGUGCUGAGCGGGUGCUCUUCCAGGGAGCCUCCUAGCUGUGGCCACAGGAAAGGCCCCUCAUUCGAGGGACCUGAAGCCAGGCAGGCAGCCGACCCUCCCGAGUCAGGGAGCACAUCUCCCUCUGACCACCAUCCACACCGCCCACUCUAGUGGGGCAGGAAGCAUUCACCUCUGGGAACUGAGGUGAAUAUCUGGGAGAUAGCUGGACACACAGUCUUGUUGAUUUUGUUCAUUUGCUUGCAGCAAAUUCAGUGAUCAGUUCUAGAAAGUUUGAGGAACAUUCCUGGCGGUGACCUGAAGAUGCCAAAACCAGGCUCACUGCUCCUUGCCUCCCUUUUCUGUUUUUCUUUCUUUGUUGCUUCUUCCCCUCCUUCAUUCCUAACUCUUUCUCUCCCUCUGUACUUCCUUUCAUUACUUACCUCCUGCUUUCCUUCCUCUCCUUCCCUUCUUCCUUCAAUCCUAUCAGGGAGGAUGAAAGUCUACACUCUUAAUUCAGACUGAUACACCAACCCCCCAGUUCCCUGUGUAUCCUAGCAAACUUAAGCUCCUUCCUGCCUUAAGGAUUUAAGCUGCAGAUAGGGCUUCCCUGAAAGCCCAUUUGGUAGAGAAUCCGCCUGCAAUGCAGGAGACCCUGGUUCAAUUUUUGGGUUGGGAAGAUCUGCUGGAGAAGGGAUAGGCUACCCACUCCAGUAUUCUGGCCAGGAGAAUUCCAUGGACUGUAUAGUCCAUGGGGUCGCAAAGAGUCGGACAGGACCGAGCGACUUUCACUUUCAGGAAAUACUAACUGCUGACCUAACCACUCCCUUGCCACACUGUCCUCCGUAACAUGUAACUUGGAAAAACAAAAACAUUCUGUACAGCAGGGGGUCCUCAACCUUUGAGCUCUAAUGCCUGAUGAUCUGAGGUGGAGCUAAUGUAAUAAUUACACAUAAUAAUAAGAAUUAAAGUCCACAAUAAAUUUAAUGUGCUUGGAUUAUCCCCAAACCAUCUCCCCCCUCCCCACCCCAAUCUGUGGAAAAACUUUUUCAGGAACCUGGUCCUUGGCGCCAAAAAGGUUGGGGGUCACUGCUGUGAACUGAGGGACCCAAGCCCUAACAAUCUGUAAUGGCCCCGGCUUUGCUGUAUCAGGCCCUUCUAUGCAACACCACGAGCUACUCCAUAACUGGGCACUGAUCUACGGCUUUGUGACAGCUCCUCUGUUUUGAGCAAUAGUAAAUUCACCCUGCAAAGUCAGAAAGGGAGCUUUUUGAUGGCUGCUGUCAAUUUUAUUGCUUUAUCCUAGUUACUAGGAUAGACUCUGCAGCUGCAGUGCGUUUACUGGUUUUAUGUAUUGCAUGUUGUUGCUGCUCUGACAAGCUACUCCUAUAAAAAUGUGUUAUUAUUGCAUGUUGUAGCUCACUGAGCUGACCGUGCAUUUCAAAGUGUACUGAAGCAAACAGCGAUGAAGUCCAUAAAAACCGACUGGCCUCCGUCAGAGGAUGCUCUGAAUGAACUGCAACUCCCACAAUCUGAAAGCAAAUUAUACCUUUCCUCUGUGCCAGCGGCCCUGACUGCUAACUGAACACAGCACAGACCCAAACGUAGGCAUGAUCUAUGUGUCCAUGUAAAAUUUCAGGACAGGAAACUGUCAUUUUACUUCUACUCAUCUAAUUCCCCAAUAAGUGACGCUUGCAAUUUUGAAGUUUAUAAAUGGCUUUAUAAUACUUUCAUAUAUUACUAUAGGAUGCAAGAGGGGUGGCUGACAUUGCUUUCCAUCUGUUCUGAAUGCUGAAGAGAAAAUUAACUUGAAUU
ensembl:lncRNA